rnacentral:rRNA from 1 species
UACGUAGGGCGCAAGCGUUGUCCGGAAUUAUUGGGCGUAAAGAGCUCGUAGGUGGCUUGUCACGUCGGGUGUGAAAGCUUGGGGCUUAACUCCAGGUCUGCAUUCGAUACGGGCUGGCUAGAGGUAGGUAGGGGAGAACGGAAUUCCUGGUGUAGCGGUGAAAUGCGCAGAUAUCAGGAGGAACACCGGUGGCGAAGGCGGUUCUCUGGGCCUUACCUGACGCUGAGGAGUGAAAGCGUGGGGAGCGAACAGG